rnacentral:rRNA from 1 species
CACGGGGGGAGCAAGCGUUGUUCGGAAUCACUGGGCGUAAAGGGCGUGUAGGCGGUCAGGUAAGUGAGACGUGAAAUGCCCCGGCUUACCCGGGGACCUGCGUCUCAUACUGCUUGGCUUGAGUACGGGAGAGGGUGUGGGAAUUCCUGGUGUAGCGGUGAAAUGCGUAGAUAUCAGGAGGAACACCGGUGGCGAAGGCGCACACCUGGCCCGAUACUGACGCUGAGGCGCGAAAGCUAGGGGAGCAAACGGG